CGCCUUGCCAGCCCGCUCAGAAACUUAAAGGAAUUGACGGGGGCCCGCACAAGCGGAGGAGCAUGUGGUUAAUUCGAUGAUACGCGAGGAACCUUACCUGGGCUCGAACGUAAGAUGACUGUAGGUGAAAGCUUACAUCUCUUCGGAGCAUUUUACGAGGUGCUGCAUGGUUGUCGUCAGCUCGUGCCGUGAGGUGUCGGGUUAAGUCCCAUAACGAGCGCAACCCCUACCUUUAGUUGCCAUCAGGUAAUGCUGGGGACUCUAAAGGAACUGCCUACGCAAGUAGUGAGGAAGGCGGGGAUGACGUCAAAUCAGCACGGCCCUUACGUCCAGGGCUACACACGUGCUACAAUGGCCGAUACAGAGGGCAGCUACCUGGUGACAGGAUGCAAAUCUCCAAAGUCGGUCUCAGUUCGGAUCGGAGUCUGCAACCCGACUCCGUGAAGUUGGAUUCGCUAGUAAUCGCGCAUCAGCCAUGGCGCGGUGAAUACGUUCCCGGGCCUU
rnacentral:rRNA from 1 species